UCGCCCGAAAGGGGCGUGGCCAUCUUUGAAAAAGAUGAUUGACAGGCAGCAACGGUAAAAACGGUCACCAAGGAGGUCAGGCUGCAGCUUCAAUGCCGCAGUCUUUCUUGGCAUGAGAAUAAUAACAACAACAUCACAAAACAGAAUGGAAGGAGGAGACAGCGGAGAGGCUGCCUGGCUUGUUGUUUAACCACCACUUCCUGCCCACUUUGGUCUUCUUUACCAUAGAUGGUAACGUUGAGCGUCAAAAGUGGAAAUAAACAAGAGCAAGGCUGGCCUGGAGCCCUUCAAUCUAUCUGCAGAGAGGGAUUGCUCUAUUUUAGUUGCUCUUGUUUCCUUCCUGGGACGAUCCGAAGGUUAUCUGUGGCUCUUUUAUCUUAGGCACAAAGCUGGGCUGGUUAAAUCCCCUUUGCGGCACCCAAUAACCUGAUUUCAGAGACCCAAUAAAACUAGUCAUCUCUUAUAACUUUGGCCACCAUUCCUCCAUUGUGUGCCUUUUAUGUCACUUUCCUUUUGUGAUCCACUUAAGAAACAAACAGCAGCUAAUCUUAUCCCAUUGGCCUACAAAAAACAAACAAAUGGUUUGACAACGGGAGAGCUUUUAGGGUGUAUCUACACUGUCAAAUUAAUGCAGUUUGACUCCAAUUUCAUUCAAUGCAGUGGAAUCAUAGAGGCUGAAGUUUGACCAGAUUUUUUUGCCUUCUUUGCCAAAGAGUACUGGUGACUCACCAAACUAAAACCAUCUUGUUUCCAUAGCUUUGAGCUAUGGCUGAAGUUUAAAAAUCUAAGGACUGCAGAUACUGAAAGUUUGUGUCUGGUGAGCCCAGCUAACCGCCAAUAUUCCCAGAUGAAUUAAUAAUAAUAAUAAUAAUA